rnacentral:rRNA from 1 species
UACGGGGGGGGGCAAGCGUUGUUCGGAAUUACUGGGCGUAAAGGGCUCGUAGGCGGACCGGUGUGUCUGGCGUGAAAUCUCCACUGCUUAACAGGGAGGGGCCGCUGGAAACUGCCGAUCUUGAGUAUGGUAGAGGACCAUGGAAUUUCGGGUGUAGCGGUGGAAUGCGUAGAUAUCCGAAAGAACACCGGUGGCGAAGGCGGUGGUCUGGACCAAAAACUGACGCUGAGGAGCGAAAGCUAGGGGAGCAAACGGG